UGUGCGUCCAAAGAUGACAUUGUAUGCCAUUGGGCAAUCAACCACCAGGAAGUUAAUGGUAAUGGUAGCUAUGUAAGGGCAUGUACCAAUGGUGAAAGGUAAGUGUAUGCUCCCUAAAGGUUGCACGAUAUCACUGGAGAAGCUUAUCAGAGGAGAAAUCGAGCGAUCGAGCUAGUGUUCAGCUACAUUAAGUGCCCUAAAAGAUUCAGCAAACAUGAUAUUGACCGAAGCCCCCGUGUCUACCAGGAAUUUGAUAAGAUUAAAAGCACACCACAAAGUAGCACACAAAUGUCCUAUUGAUUUUCCUUAUUAACAAUAAGAUUUGUCAAUUGUAGCAUAUGAAAAUAAGGGUCUUUCACGCAGAAGAUUGUUU
rnacentral:lncRNA from 1 species